CAUGCAAGUCGAGCGAGAAACCAGUCCUUCGGGACUGGGGACAGCGGCGAACGGGUGAGUAACACGUGGGUAAUCUGCCCUCGAUUCUGGGAUAGCCCGGGGAAACCCGGAUUAAUACCGGAUAGCCUCUCGAGCUUACGAGCUCGUGAGAAAAGGUAGCUUCGGCCUCCGAUCGAGGAUGAGCCCGCGGCGGAUUAGCUUGUUGGUGGGGUAAUGGCCUACCAAGGCAACGAUCCGUAGCUGGUCUGAGAGGACGAUCAGCCACACUGGGACUGAGACACGGCCCAGACUCCUACGGGAGGCAGCAGUGGGGAAUCUUGCGCAAUGGGCGAAAGCCUGACGCAGCGACGCCGCGUGGGGGAAGAAGGCCUUCGGGUUGUAAACCUCUUUCAGCAGGGACGAAGCCACUCGGGUUAAUAGCCCAGAGGGUGACGGUACCUGCAGAAGAAGCCCCGGCUAACUACGUGCCAGCAGCCGCGGUAAUACGUAGGGGGCAAGCGUUGUCCGGAUUUAUUGGGCGUAAAGAGCGUGUAGGCGGCCAGACAGGUCCGUUGUGAAAACUAGAGGCUUAACCUCUAGACGUCGAUGGAAACCGUUUGGCUAGAGUCCGGAAGAGGAGAAUGGAAUUCCUGGUGUAGCGGUGAAAUGCGCAGAUAUCANGAAGAACACCCGUGGCUAACGCGGUUCUCUAGUACGGUACUGACGCUGA
rnacentral:rRNA from 1 species